GGGGCGAGAGAGCGGAGCUCGGGCAGGGCCAGGCCGCAGCAGCGGAGGGGGCGCGGAGAAGCGCAGGCCCUGCCCAGCCCAGGCAGCCAGCGCUGGGGGAACGACGCGACGCGAGGCAGGAGCGCCCAGAGGAAGCCGCCCGCGGCCAGACCGGGCCUGGAGGCCGAGACGCGGGGCCGCGGCGCCUCCCAGUCACGUCUGGGCACGCACCUCCUCGCAGCAGGGGCGCUCCGGUGAGCCAGUCCGGUCACUUCAGAUCGUCUCUCCCCGAUUGCGGCGCCUGACUGACCCGGAUAUAAAUCCGCGGAGGGGGCGACCCGCGCCUCCGGAGUCGCACUGCGCCUGCGUCACUCAGACACGCGCCCCGCCCCCUGUUCGUGCUCCUCCCACCCCAGUGACUAGGCAACGCGGCAGGCCGUAGUUGCGCAGGCGCGGGGCGGUGGCCGCGCCUCUCAAACGCCUGACGCCCGCCCCUCGCGAAGCACGUGCGCCUGACGUUAUUUCCUGUUAUUCUCUUAACUCGCCCCUCCCUCCGCAAAGGGUUCGCUAUGGAACGGAUUUUGGGGUGUGCCUCCUUCCUCCUCUCGGUCAGGUGAGUGGGUGGGCGUUGACCUUCGCUGCCGAGCUGCCUCCACUUCCCCGGGUCUCCCUGUGCUUGGUGCUCCACCUGGAGUCAGCGAGGCUGCGGAAUUCCGCGGGGUGAGGCCAGGGUGGGGGGAUUUUCACAGCGACGGAGCCCGUCUGAGCGCUUGGCCCAAGCCUCCUCGAUGCUCGAAUCUGGACGGCCUGCGACAUCUCCAGGGCUCCGACACCAACCCAGGACUCCCGGGGAUCUUCCAGGGCUGCAGAGACGCAAGGAAGUAUCGGACACGGUCAGGACCGUGAACGUGACGCCGGAAUUGGAACUGAAAUGCCUUCGCUUUAAUACGCCUGUUGUUUGACUUGAGGCAACUGCAUUUCCCCCUCUGGGCCUCAGUUUCUCCAUUCCGUUAAGUGAGGACCUUGGACUGUUUCAGCGAAUAUCGUUUUUUUCAGGCGUGGACUCCUUUGAGAAUCCGGAGAGGCUCAGUAACUGACAAGGGAUGAAAAAAACCUAUUGGGACUUCCCUGGUGGCACAGUGGUUAAGAAUCCGCCUGCCAAUGCAGGGAACACGGGUUCGAGCCCUGGUCCGGGAAGAUCCCACAUGCCGCGGAGCAGCUAAGCCCAUGGGCCACAACUACUGAGCCUGCGCUCUAGAGCCCGCGAGCCACAACCGCUGAAGCCUGCAGUGCCUAGAGCCUGUGCUCCGCAGCAAGAGGAGCCACUGCAACGCAGAGUAGCCCCUGCUUGCUGAUAGAGAAAGCCUGCGUGCAACAAUGAAGACUGAACACAGCCAAAAGUAAAUAAAAUAAAUAAAUUUAUUUUUAAAAAAAAGAAAA